UAUGCCUCUGAAGUAGCCUCUGUUCUUUUUAAACUUUGGGCCAUCAAGAUGCCUAUAUCUUCUCUUCCAGCAGCCAUAUUGUCUCAUAUGAUAAGUGUAAACAAUGUGCCUCCCCCUUCACUUCGCAGUAUACCAAAUUUGAAAGUGUCUAAGCACAUUGAUUAUGGUCAGUUGAAUACUUUAUGCCACUUGAGAGGUAUACAAUACAAUCAGACUUCUAGCCCCUAUAUAUCAGCUCAUGAUGAUUUUAUGAAGCAAUAUCCUAAAAUAUUUGUGAAGAAAAGGCACAGACUGCCUGAACUUCUCAAACUGGAGGGAAAAAGAAAACCUGCUGAAAAUAUAGAGGAAACUCAACUCCAACAACCUACUGAUGAUUCUCACAAUGUAGCUGUCCAUAUUAAAAAAAUACAUGGUGACAUUUUAUAUGGACCAAAAAAAUUUGAAGAGAAGAAGUUAGCAGAAUUCCUGGCUAUCUUAAAGAAAUUGCCUAUCCACAGGACUCGGCAGGAACACAACACUGUGUGGAGGAUGCUAAGAACAAUUCCAGAAUUAACAUCUCAGCUAACUGAUGAGCAUCUGAAAACACUUAGUAUGAGUGUCAUUUCGGAAAAAUGGUUAAAAGGCAGCAUAGUGUUUGGAAAUGAUGGAUUUUAUAUAAUACUGAAAGGCAUGGCUCGACCUCAAACAAUGGAACAUAGAAGUUUUAUUGAAGAAAAUAAGUCACCAACCUCUUUCACACCUCAGGGUUUUCAUGGCAUUCUUCUCGGUGAAGAAUUAAAACAUACUCCACUUGCUGUGAUGUUCCUGUCUCCAUGUGAGCCAGUGCUUACACGGUGGAGUACUUUUGGAACCCUUGAAGAUACACCUCAGACAGAAUCAGAAGCAAGGAAAUACUCAGUGGUUGCAGAAGAAGAUUGUGAAAUUCUUAGAAUUUCUGCAAAGGAAUUGGCAAAGUUAAAAUUGGAAAAGAAAAAACUUGAGAAUAAAGAAAAAGUGAAAUUAAUUCGUAGCUGUCCAUAUUAUGAGGAGUGGCCCACUUUAUCCAUAUAUGAGCUAAUUGCACUCAUUAAAUGGAAAAAAUUUCCUCCGGGUCAUGUGAUAGUGGAAAGUGGAAACAUAAUUUCUUUUGUGGCUUACAUUAAUUCUGGAUAUUGUGAAGUUUACAGAACUAUUGUAGGACUUGUGAAACAACAAUCAAAAGUGAAAAAAAUUCGAAAAUUUGUUUAUAUGGGUAAACUUAUGGAGAAAGAGUCCUUUGGUGAAAUUAGUGUUCUUCUUCAAGUUCCUUUCACAUGCACUGUUGUCACUGGAAAUGAGGUUGAAUUGGCAAUCAUUGAAGAUAAGGACUUAUUUAAAAUAGACCCAGUAACCAAACAGCUUAUGCUUCAAACAGCUCAACCAACUUUUGGCCAUCUGACAGAUGAGGAUGUUAAAAGUGAAUUUUUGCAAAAGGAGAAAAAAAAGGAAUGGAAAAAUUUCAAGGAUGGGAGGUCAUGUCUUUGGCAACUCAAAAACAGUGAUCUCAAUUCUCUUCAUGGUUGACUCGGCAGUUGAAAAAGCUAUCUUCAAAUUCCUCAUGGCUAUUAGGAAGAAAAAACUAUUCUAUAGUUACAGGAAUACGAUGCUGAACUGAGAUUUUCAUGGAAUGUUUACUUCAUACCUUUUGAUGCCACCUCAAUCAUGUCAAAAUCAGCACAGACUGUCCUGUGAAAUUAGACUCGUCAAGUGGCUUUGAGUGGAAGAUACUUCUAAUUCAGUUAAAAGAACACAUUCUUCUUUACCACUUUUCUUUGUUAUGAAAAUUGCACCCACCAAUUCAAGCACUUGAUGAGGAAUCACACUUUGAUAGUGUUUGAAAAACCCUAUAAAUUGAGGUCAUGAGCCUACCCAAAUAAAUCAUAACUUCCAGAUACUAUUUUACCCACUUUUAGCUUGAAAACAAUACAUGCCUUCAGUAGUAGAAGGUUUAGGAUAGUCCUAAUGCUUUUAGCCUUUUAAUAUACAGAAGACAUUCUAGGCUGAAACCAGUUAGCUCUAUAAUGGCACGUUUUCCUUGUUUCAUUCAACAAAUGUUUAUUGAAUGGCUGCUAUGUGUUAGGAACUGUAUUUCCAGGGACAAACAAUAUGUAUAUCUGAUCCAGUCUAAUCCAGUCUAAGGGGGAUUAUAGAUAUUACAUGACAAAACAAAUAAAACAAAUAAUUUAAAAUUUUAUUUUGAUAUCAGUAGCCUAAUGGGGAACAUCUUACUGG